rnacentral:rRNA from 1 species
GGUAGCACAGAGAGCUUGCUCUCGGGUGACGAGCGGCGGACGGGUGAGUAAUGUCUGGGAAACUGCCUGAUGGAGGGGGAUAACUACUGGAAACGGUAGCUAAUACCGCAUAAUGUCGCAAGACCAAAGUGGGGGACCUUCGGGCCUCAUGCCAUCAGAUGUGCCCAGAUGGGAUUAGCUAGUAAGUGGGGUAACGGCUCACCUAGGCGACGAUCCCUAGCUGGUCUGAGAGGAUGACCAGCCACACUGGAACUGAGACACGGUCCAGACUCCUACGGGAGGCAGCAGUGGGGAAUAUUGCACAAUGGGCGCAAGCCUGAUGCAGCCAUGCCGCGUGUGUGAAGAAGGCCUUCGGGUUGUAAAGCACUUUCAGCGGGGAGGAAGGCGUUAAGGUUAAUAACCUUGGCGAUUGACGUUACCCGCAGAAGAAGCACCGGCUAACUCCGUGCCAGCAGCCGCGGUAAUACGGAGGGUGCAAGCGUUAAUCGGAAUUACUGGGCGUAAAGCGCACGCAGGCGGUCUGUCAAGUCGGAUGUGAAAUCCCCGGGCUCAACCUGGGAACUGCAUUCGAAACUGGCAGGCUAGAGUCUUGUAGAGGGGGGUAGAAUUCCAGGUGUAGCGGUGAAAUGCGUAGAGAUCUGGAGGAAUACCGGUGGCGAAGGCGGCCCCCUGGACAAAGACUGACGCUCAGGUGCGAAAGCGUGGGGAGCAAGCAGGAUUAGAUACCCUGGUAGUCCACGCCGUAAACGAUGUCGAUUUGGAGGUUGUGCCCUUGAGGCGUGGCUUCCGGA